AUAAAAACAGUCUCUUUAGAAUUUCAAGCCAUUUUCAUAGACUAGAGGCAGUAAAUAUAUUUUCAUUUCAAUCAUUUGAAUAAAGCAGUUAAUUUUACAAUGAUUCUCUUCAUCAAACUUGUCCAAAAUUCUGACUGAAGAGGUGUGAAAACCUGGACAACACACAUCAAGAAAAAGGCUAGCAGGACUCAAAGUGACUGAAAAUACAAGCCUCCAGAUAAGGUGGUAGAAGCCUGCAAUUGUGUUAUUGACAGUUGCACCUGAGACAUGGACUGUUGUGAAACAGCACAUUUGAGGUACACUGCAUACCAACUAUGAGGCAGAUCCAAGGCCUUCGAGGUACAUGUGGCUAUUCUGCCACAUGUGUCUCAGUAGCUGACUUCUUUGCCAAACUUCCUUAUGAUUACAUCUCUACUACGCUAACUGUAUUUCAAAAUCUGCCUUAAAGUUAGUUCAAAGCUCAUUUUAAUCACUAAAAAGAAAUUGCCAUUGGCUUCACUGCAGAUAUCAUCAGUUGGCUCUGAUCCAUUCCACCACAGGGUCUGAGGGAGCUCGUCAGCCCUUUCUCCAGCAUCCAUGUCUGGGUGGCAUCUGGCCAUUUACUAGUUGGAAGAGACAGCACUAAGGUAAUGCAUUCACUUCCUGGGUGUAACAAAAACUCUUCAGAGGGUGAAGCUGCUUCAACAUUUCUGAAAGUCCUUUGUCACCUCACUCCUUCCAGUACCCUAAACAAUUGAGAAACUGAGUUGAUAAAAUAUUCCUUUGAGGGAAAUUGAGUUGGAAGUCCUCAUGGAUACAGAUGGCAGCAUCAGAACUGUGAGCUGAUUGGGAAAGUGUGAGAAGAUGCAUCAGAUCUUGCUGUGCUUUCAAACAUGGUGCCUUCAGCAAAAGCAGACUACCCCCUGAAUCCUGCUCAGACUUUGGUGAGAGACGGAGCUAAGCUGGGCUGUCAAGACCAAGGUGCUUCCUGUUAUGCAGAGAAGCAUGUUUCCUGGGAACCUUCAAUGAGAAGAAGCGGAAGUAUUUUCAGAGCUGGAGCUCUGUAACAUUUUCAAUCAUUUUUAAAUUAACUUUAAUUGGCUAACAUUUAAUUUCGGAAGCUGGCCUUGAGGCUCUUCUACCCUUACAUUUGUACAAAGAAGGAAGGAAAACACGUUGAGAAAUAUCCACACAUGCAAGAGUCAUGAUUUCAAGAAGCAAAUGGAGAAAUAAAAUAGAAAUAGACUGUCUAGUAAAUACAGAGCUAAUUAAAUAACAUUAGAUACAUUUCAGCUCAUAAAUUUAGGCUUAACUAUCUUGUAUCUAACCAUCUAGUUGAAAUACUCUUUGGACAAGUUAUGGUUGAAGCAAAAAACUCUUAAACUGCACAGACUACUAAGCUGCAUCUGUUAGUGCCAUUUCCAACUGCAACUAGAAAGGAACAAGUAAAAUCAUAGGAUGUGUUUUUUUUUUUUCAAUACAAUCCAUGCACAGCUGUUAGCUAUUCCCCUCGCAGCUUUGACAG
ensembl:lncRNA